UGUGUAGGCGGUCCUCUAAGUUUGGUGUGAAAUCUCCCGGCUCAACCGGGAGGGUGCGCCGAAAACUGGGGGGCUAGAGUGCGGGAUGGGAGAGUGGAAUUCCUGGUGUAGCGGUGAAAUGCGUAGAUAUCAGGAGGAACACCGGUGGUGUAGACGGCUCUCUGGACCGUAACUGACGCUGAGACACGAAAGCGUGGGUAGCAAACA
rnacentral:rRNA from 1 species